rnacentral:rRNA from 1 species
GACGAACGCUGGCGGCGUGCUUAACACAUGCAAGUCGAGCGAUGAAGCACCUUCGGGUGUGAAUUAGCGGCGAACGGGUGAGGAACACGUGAGAAAUCUGCCUUCAACUCUGGGAUAACUCCGUGAAAACGGGGCUAAUACCGGAUAUGAAACCUGCGGGCAUCCGCGGGUUUGGAAAGUUUUUCGGUUGAAGAUGAUCUCGCGGCCUAUCAGCUUGUUGGUGAGGUAAUGGCUCACCAAGGCGACGACGGGUAGCCGGCCUGAGAGGGCGACCGGCCACACUGGGACUGAGACACGGCCCAGACUCCUACGGGAGGCAGCAGUGGGGAAUAUUGGGCAAUGGAGGGAACUCUGACCCAGCGACGCCGCGUGCGGGAUGAAGGCCUUCGGGUUGUAAAUCGCUUUCAGCAGGGAAGAAGCGAAAGUGACGGUACCUGCAGAAGAAGCACCGGCUAACUAUGUGCCAGCCGCCGCCGUAA